rnacentral:rRNA from 1 species
ACCACCAACCCUCGGCGGCUCCCUAAUACAUCCAACUCCACCCCACACAUCCCACCUUCCUCCCUCAUCUUACCCGGGCACCCCUCACUAACACCUCCCUAACCUCCCUCUAACACUCCCAUAACUCCCGGAAACGGCCCCUAAUACCGGAUGCUUGUUUGAACCGCAUGGUUCAGACAUAAAAGGUGGCUUCGGCUACCACUUACAGAUGGACCCGCGGCGCAUUAGCUAGUUGGUGAGGUAACGGCUCACCAAGGCGACGAUGCGUAGCCGACCUGAGAGGGUGAUCGGCCACACUGGGACUGAGACACGGCCCAGACUCCUACGGGAGGCAGCAGUAGGGAAUCUUCCGCAAUGGACGAAAGUCUGACGGAGCAACGCCGCGUGAGUGAUGAAGGUUUUCGGAUCGUAAAGCUCUGUUGUUAGGGAAGAACAAGUGCCGUUCAAAUAGGGCGGCACCUUGACGGUACCUAACCAGAAAGCCACGGCUAACUACGUGCCAGCAGCCGCGGUAAUACGUAGGUGGCAAGCGUUGUCCGGAAUUAUUGGGCGUAAAGGGCUCGCAGGCGGUUUCUUAAGUCUGAUGUGAAAGCCCCCGGCUCAACCGGGGAGGGUCAUUGGAAACUGGGGAACUUGAGUGCAGAAGAGGAGAGUGGAAUUCCACGUGUAGCGGUGAAAUGCGUAGAGAUGUGGAGGAACACCAGUGGCGAAGGCGACUCUCUGGUCUGUAACUGACGCUGAGGAGCGAAAGCGUGGGGAGCGAACAGGAUUAGAUACCCUGGUAGUCCACGCCGUAAACGAUGAGUGCUAAGUGUUAGGGGGUUUCCGCCCCUUAGUGCUGCAGCUAACGCAUUAAGCACUCCGCCUGGGGAGUACGGUCGCAAGACUGAAACUCAAAGGAAUUGACGGGGGCCCGCACAAGCGGUGGAGCAUGUGGUUUAAUUCGAAGCAACGCGAAGAACCUUACCAGGUCUUGACAUCCUCUGACAAUCCUAGAGAUAGGACGUCCCCUUCGGGGGCAGAGUGACAGGUGGUGCAUGGUUGUCGUCAGCUCGUGUCGUGAGAUGUUGGGUUAAGUCCCGCAACGAGCGCAACCCUUGAUCUUAGUUGCCAGCAUUCA